AAUGUGAUCUAUGGCAAGGAAACAUAUGUGGGGUGAGGUGUAUGAGCCUCUGGUCGAUGAUCAUUGGCCACACAACCCCCAUUUUUGUCGAAAAUAGCCAUGAACGACCAUUUUCAAUAAUAUCGAAGGCUAACACCUACGGAUUUUUGACCAAGAAAUGGUCUCCACCAGAAAUCCAAGAAUGUGAUCUACGACAAGGAAACAUAUGUGGGGUGAGGUGUAUGAGCCUCUGGUCGACGAUCAAUGGCCACACAACCCCCAUUUUGCCGAAAAUAGCCAUGAAUGACCAUUUUCAAUAAUAUCGAAGGCUAACACCUACGGAUUUUUGACCAAGAAAUGGUCUCCACCAGAAAUCCAAGAAUGUGAUCUACGACAAGGAAACAUAUGUGGGGUGAGGUGUAUGAGCCUCUGGUCGACGAUCAAUGGCCACACAACCCCCAUUUUGCCGAAAAUAGCCAUGAAUGACCAUUUUCAAUAAUACCGAAGGCUAACACGUACGAGUUUUUAACCAAGAAAUGGUUUCCACCAGAAAUCCAAGAAUGUAAUCUAUGGCAAGGAAACAUAUGUGGGGUGAGGUGUAUGAGCCUCUAGUCGAUGAUAAAUGGCCACACAACCCCCAUUUUUUAUGAAAAUAGCCAUGAGCGACCUUGAAAAUAGCCAUGAGCGACCAUUUUCAAUAAUACUAGAGGCUAACACCUACGGAUUUUGACCAAGAAAGGUCUCCACCAGAAAUCCAAGAAUGUGAUCUAUGGCAAGGAAACAUAUGUGGGGUGAGGUGUAUGAGCGUCUGGUCGAUGAUCAAUGGCCACACAACCCCCAUUUUUGUCGAAAAUAGCCAUGAACGACCAUUUUCAAUAAUACCGAAGGCUAACACCUACGGAUUUUUGACCAAGAAAUGGUCUCCACCAGAAAUCCAAGAAUGUGAUCUAUGGCAAGGAAACAUAUGUGGGGUGAGGUGUAUGAGCCUCUAGUCGAUGAUCAAUGGCCACACAACCCCCAUUUUUGUCGAAAAUAGCCAUGAAUGACCAUUUUCAAAAAUACCAAAGGCUAACACGUACGGAUUUUUGACCAAGAAAUGGUCUCCACCAGAAAUCCAAGAAUGUGAUCUAUGGCAAGGAAACAUAUGUGGGGUGAGGUGUACGAGCCUCUGGUCGAUGAUCAAUGGCCACACAACCCCCAUUUUUGUCGAAAAUAGCCAUGAAUGACCAUUUUCAAUAAUACCGAAGGCUAACACGUACGAGUUUUUAACCAAGAAAUGGUUUCCACCAGAAAUCCAAGAAUGUAAUCUAUGGCAAGGAAACAUAUGUGGGGUGAGGUGUAUGAGCCUCUGGUCGAUGAUCAAUGGCCACACACCCCCAUUUUUAUGAAAAUAGCCAUGAGCGACCAUUUUCAAUAAUACUAGAGGCUAAGACCUACGGAUUUUUAACCAAGAAAUGGUCUCCACCAGAAAUCCAAGAAUGUGAUCUACGACAAGGAAACAUAUGUGGGGUGAGGUGUAUGAGCGUCUGGUCGACGAUCAAUGGCCACACAACCCCCAUUUUUGUCGAAAAUAGCCAUGAACGACCAUUUUCAAUAAUACCAAGGCUAACACCUACGGAUUUUUGACCAAGAAAUGGUCGGGGUGAGGUUUACGAGCCUCUGGUCGAUGAUCAAUGGCCACACAACCCCAUUUUUAUGAAAAUAGCCAUACGACCUUGAAAAUAGCCAUGACGACCAUUUUCAAUAAUACUAGAGGCUAACACCUACGGAUUUUAGACCAAGAAAUGGUUCCACCAGAAAUCCAAGAAUGUGAUCUAUGGCAAGGAAACAUAUGUGGGGUGAGGUGUAUGAGCCUCUGGUCGACGAUCAAUGGCCACACAACCCCCAUUUUGCCGAAAAUAGCCAUGAAUGACCAUUUUCAAUAAUACGAAGGCUAACACCUACGGAUUUUUGACCAAGAAAUGGUCUCCACCAGAAAUCCAAGAAUGUGAUCUAUGGCAAGGAAACAUAUGUGGGGUGAGGUGUAUGAGCCUCUGGUCGACGAUCAAUGGCCACACAACCCCAUUUUUGUCGAAAAUAGCCAUGAACGACCAUUUUCAAUAAUACGAAGGCUAACACCUACGGAUUUUUGACCAAGAAAUGGUCUCCACCAGAAAUCCAAGAAUGUGAUCUAUGGCAAGGAAACAUAUGUGGGUGAGGUGUAUGAGCCUCUGGUCGAGAUCAAUGGCCACACAACCCCCAUUUUUGUCGAAAAUAGCCAUGAAUGACCAUUUUCAAAAUACAAGGCUAACACCUACGGAUUUUUGACCAAGAAAUGGUCUCCACCAGAAAUCCAAGAAUGUGAUCUAUGGCAAGGAAACAUAUGUGGGGUGAGGUGUAUGAGCCUCUGGUCGAUGAUCAAUGGCCACACAACCCCCAUUUUGUCGAAAAUAGCCAUGAACGACCAUUUUCAAUAAUACCGAAGGCUAACACCUACGGAUUUUUGACCAAGAAAUGGUCUCCACCAGAAAUCCAAGAAUGUGAUCUAUGGCAAGGAAACAUAUGUGGGGUGAGGUGUAUGAGCCUCUGGUCGAUGAUCAAUGGCCACACAACCCCCAUUUUUGUCGAAAAUAGCCAUGAACGACCAUUUUCAAUAAUACCGAAGGCUAACACCUACGGAUUUUUGACCAAGAAAUGGUCUCCACCAGAAAUCCAAGAAUGUGAUCUAUGGCAAGGAAACAUAUGUGGGGUGAGGUGUAUGAGCCUCUGGUCGAUGAUCAAUGGCCACACAACCCCCAUUUUUGUCGAAAAUAGCCAUGAACGACCAUUUUCAAUAAUACGAAGGCUAACACUACGAUUUUUAACCAAGAAAUGGUUCCACCAGAAAUCCAAGAAUGUAUCUAUGGCAAGGAAACAUAUGUGGGGUGAGGUGUAUGAGCCUCUGGUCGAUGAUCAAUGGCCACACAACCCCAUUUUUUGAAAAUAGCCAUGAACGACCAUUUUCAAUAAUACAAGGCUAACACCUACGGAUUUUGACCAAGAAAUGGUCUCCACCAGAAAUCCAAGAAUGUGAUCUAUGGCAAGGAAACAUAUGUGGGGUGAGGUGUAUGAGCUCUGGUCGAUGAUCAAUGGCCACACAACCCCCAUUUUUGUCGAAAAUAGCCAUGAACGACCAUUUUCAAUAAUACAAGGCUAACACCUACGGAUUUUGACCAAGAAAUGGUUCCACCAGAAAUCCAAGAAUGUGAUCUAUGGCAAGGAAACAUAUGUGGGGUGAGGUGUAUGAGCCUCUGGUCGAGAUCAAUGGCCACACAACCCCAUUUUGCGAAAAUAGCCAUGAAGACCAUUUUCAAUAAUACGAAGGCUAACACUACGGAUUUUUGACCAAGAAAUGGUCUCCACCAGAAAUCCAAGAAUGUGAUCUAUGGCAAGGAAACAUAUGUGGGGUGAGGUGUAUGAGCCUCUGGUCGAGAUCAAUGGCCACACAACCCCAUUUUUGUCGAAAAUAGCCAUGAACGACCAUUUUCAAUAAUGAAGGCUAACACCUACGGAUUUUUGACCAAGAAAUGGUCUCCACCAAAAUCCAAGAAUGUGAUCUAUGGCAAGGAAACAUAUGUGGUGAGGUGUAUGAGCCUCUGGUCGAGAUCAAUGGCCACACAACCCCCAUUUUGUCGAAAAUAGCCAUGAAGACCAUUUUCAAAAUACCAAGGCUAACACACGGAUUUUGCCAAGAAAUGGUCUCCACCAGAAAUCCAAGAAUGUGAUCUAUGGCAAGGAAACAUAUGUGGGGUGAGGUGUAGAGCCUCUGGUCGAUGAUCAAUGCCACAAACCCCCAUUUUGCGAAAAUAGCCAUGAACGACCAUUUUCAAUAAUACCGAAGGCUAACACCUACGGAUUUUUGACCAAGAAAUGGUCUCCACCAGAAAUCCAAGAAUGUAUCUAUGGCAAGGAAACAUAUGUGGGGUGAGGUGUAUGAGCUCUGGUCGACGAUCAAUGGCCACACAACCCCCAUUUUUGUCGAAAAUAGCCAUGAACGACCAUUUUCAAUAAUACGAAGGCUAACACCUACGGAUUUUUGACCAAGAAAUGGUCUCCACCAAAAUCCAAGAAUGUGAUCUAUGGCAAGGAAACAUAUGUGGGGUGAGGUGUAUGAGCUCUGGUCGAUGAUCAAUGGCCACACAACCCCAUUUUUGUCGAAAAUAGCCAUGAACGACAUUUCAAUAAUACGAAGGCUAACACUACGAUUUUAACCAAGAAAUGGUUCCACCAGAAAUCCAAGAAUGUAUCUAUGGCAAGGAAACAUAUGUGGGUGAGGUUAUGAGCCUCUGGUCGAUGAUAAUGGCCACACAACCCAUUUUUGAAAAUAGCCAUGAACGACCAUUUUCAAUAAUACAGAGGCUAACACCUACGGAUUUUAGACCAAGAAAUGGUCUCCACCAGAAAUCCAAGAAUGUGAUCUAUGGCAAGGAAACAUAUGUGGGGUGAGGUGUAUGAGCGUCUGGUCGAUGAUCAAUGGCCACAAACCCCAUUUUGCGAAAAUAGCCAUGAAGACAUUUCAAUAAUACGAAGGCUAACACUACGAUUUUGACCAAGAAAUGGUCUCACCAGAAAUCCAAGAAUGUGAUCUAUGCAAGGAAACAUAUGUGGGUGAGGUGUAUGAGCCUGGUCGAUGAUCAAUGGCACACAACCCCAUUUUGUCGAAAAUAGCCAUGAACGACCAUUUCAAUAAUAUCGAAGGCUAACUGGGGUUGUGUGGCCAUUGAUCGUCGACCAGAGGCUCAUACACCUCACCCCACAUAUGUUUCCUUGUCGUAGAUCACAUUCUUGGAUUUCUGGUGGAGACCAUUUCUUGGUCAAAAAUCCGUAGGUGUUAGCCUUCGAUAUUAUUGAAAAUGGUCGAUCAUGGCUAUUUUCGACAAAAAUGGGGGUUGUGUGGCCAUUGAUCAUCGACCAGAGGCUCAUACACCUCACCCCACAUAUGUUUCCUUGCCAUAGAUCACAUUCUUGGAUUUCUGGUGGAGACCAUUUCUUGGUCAAAAAUCCGUAGGUGUUAGCCUUCGGUAUUAUUGAAAAUGGUCGUUCAUGGCUAUUUUCGACAAAAAUGGGGGUUGUGUGGCCAUUGAUCAUCGACCAGACGCUCAUACACCUCACCCCACAUAUGUUUCCUUGCCAUAGAUCACAUUCUUGGAUUUCUGGUGGAGACCAUUUCUUGGUCUAAAAUCCGUAGGUGUUAGCCUCUAGUAUUAUUGAAAAUGGUCGUUCAUGGCUAUUUUCGACAAAAAUUAGGGUUGUGUGGCCAUUGAUCAUCGACCAGAGGCUCAUACACCUCACCCCACAUAUGUUUCCUUGCCAUAGAUCACAUUCUUGGAUUUCUGGUGGAAACCAUUUCUUGGUUAAAAACUCGUACGUGUUAGCCUUCGGUAUUAUUGAAAAUGGUCAUUCAUGGCUAUUUUCGGCAAAAUGGGGGUUGUGUGGCCAUUGAUCGUCGACCAGAGGCUCAUACACCUCACCCCACAUAUGUUUCCUUGUCGUAGAUCACAUUCUUGGAUUUCUGGUGGAGACCAUUUCUUGGUCAAAAAUCCGUAGGUGUUAGCCUUCGAUAUUAUUGAAAAUGGUCGUUCAUGGCUAUUUUCGACAAAAAUGGGGGUUGUGUGGCCAUUGAUCAUCGACCAGACGCUCAUACACCUCACCCACAUAUGUUUCCUUGCCAUAGAUCACAUUCUUGGAUUUCUGGUGGAGACCAUUUCUUGGUCAAAAAUCUGUACGUGUUAGCCUUUGGUAUUUUGAAAAUGGUCAUUCAUGGCUAUUUUCGACAAAAAUGGGGGUUGUGUGGCCAUUGAUCAUCGACUAGAGGCUCAUACACCUCACCCCACAUAUGUUUCCUUGCCAUAGAUCACAUUCUUGGAUUUCUGGUGGAGACCAUUUCUUGGUCAAAAAUCCGUAGGUGUUAGCCUUCGGUAUUAUUGAAAAUGGUCGUUCAUGGCUAUUUUCGGCAAAAUGGGGGUUGUGUGGCCAUUGAUCGUCGACCAGAGGCUCAUACACCUCACCCCACAUAUGUUUCCUUGUCGUAGAUCACAUUCUUGGAUUUCUGGUGGAGACCAUUUCUUGGUCAAAAAUCCGUAGGUGUUAGCCUUCGGUAUUAUUGAAAAUGGUCGUUCAUGGCUAUUUUCGACAAAAAUGGGGGUUGUGUGGCCAUUGAUCAUCGACCAGACGCUCAUACACCUCACCCCACAUAUGUUUCCUUGCCAUAGAUCGCAUUCUUGGAUUUCUGGUGGAGACCAUUUCUUGGUCAAAAAUCCGUACGUGUUACCUUCGGUAUGAUUGAAAAUGGAGGUUGUGUGACCAUUGAUCAUCGACCAGAGGCUCAUACACCUCACCCCACAUAUGUUUCCUUGUCGUAGAUCACAUUCUUGGAUUUCUGGUGGAGACCAUUUCUUGGUCAAAAAUCCGUAGGUGUUAGCCUUCGGUAUUAUUGAAAAUGGUCGUUCAUGGCUAUUUUCGACAAAAAUGGGGGUUGUGUGGCCAUUGAUCAUCGACCAGAGGCUCAUACACCUCACCCCACAUAUGUUUCCUUGCCAUAGAUCACAUUCUUGGAUUUCUGGUGGAGACCAUUUCUUGGUCAAAAAUCCGUAGGUGUUAGCCUUCGGUAUUAUUGAAAAUGGUCGUUCAUGGCUAUUUUCGACAAAAAUGGGGGUUGUGUGGCCAUUGAUCAUCGACCAGACGCUCAUACACCUCACUACACAUAUGUUUCCUUGCCAUAGAUCACAUUCUUGGAUUUAUGGUGGAGACCAUUUCUUGGUCAAAAAUCCGUAGGUGUUAGCCUUCGGUAUUAUUGAAAAUGGUCGUUCAUGGCUAUUUUCGACAAAAUGGGGGUUGUGUGGCAUUGAUCAUCGACCAGAGGCUCAUACACCUCACCCCACAUAUGUUUCCUUGCCAUAGAUCACAUUCUUGGAUUUCUGGUGGAGACCAUUUCUUGGGCAAAAAUCCGAAUGUGUUAGCCUUUGGUAUUUUGAAAAUGGUCAUUCAUGGCUAUUUUCGACAAAAAUGGGGGUUGUGUGGCCAUUGAUCUCGACCAGAGGCUCAUACACCUCACUACACAUAUGUUUCCUUGCCAUAGAUCACAUUCUUGGAUUUAUGGUGGAGACCAUUUCUUGGUCAAAAAUCCGUAGGUGUUAGCCUUCAGUGUCAUUGAAAAUGGUCGUUCAUGGCUAUUUUCGACAAAAAUAGGGUUGUGUGGCCAUUGAUCGUCGACCAGAGGCUCAUACACCUCACCCCACAUAUGUUUCCUUGCCAUAGAUCACAUUCUUGGAUUUCUGGUGGAGACCAUUUCUUGGUCAAAAAUCCGUAGGUGUUAGCCUUCGGUAUUAUUGAAAAUGGUCAUUCAUGGCUAUUUUCGGCAAAAAUGGGGGUUGUGUGGCCAUUGAUCAUCGACCAGAGGCUCAUACACCUCACCCCACAUAUGUUUCCUUGCCAUAGAUCACAUUCUUGGAUUUCUGGUGGAAACCAUUUCUUGGUCUAAAAUCCGUAGGUGUUAGCCUCUAGUAUUAUUGAAAAUGGUCGCUCAUGGCUAUUUUCAAGGUCGCUCAUGGCUAUUUCAUAAAAAUGGGGGUUGUGUGGCCAUUGAUCAUCGACCAGAGGCUCGUAACCUCACCCGACCAUUUCUUGGUCAAAAAUCCGUAGGUGUUAGCCUUUGGUAUUAUUGAAAAUGGUCGUUCAUGGCUAUUUUCGACAAAAAUGGGGUUGUGUGGCCAUUGAUCGUCGACCAGACGCUCAUACACCUCACCCCACAUAUGUUUCCUUGUCGUAGAUCACAUUCUUGGAUUUCUGGUGGAGACCAUUUCUUGGUUAAAAAUCCGUAGGUCUUAGCCUCUAGUAUUAUUGAAAAUGGUCGCUCAUGGCUAUUUUCAUAAAAAUGGGGGCUGUGUGGCCAUUGAUCAUCGACCAGAGGCUCAUACACCUCACCCCACAUAUGUUUCCUUGCCAUAGAUUACAUUCUUGGAUUUCUGGUGGAAACCAUUUCUUGGUUAAAAACUCGUACGUGUUAGCCUUCGGUAUUAUUGAAAAUGGUCAUUCAUGGCUAUUUUCGACAAAAAUGGGGGUUGUGUGGCCAUUGAUCAUCGACCAGAGGCUCAUACACCUCACCCCACAUAUGUUUCCUUGCCAUAGAUCACAUUCUUGGAUUUCUGGUGGAGACCAUUUCUUGGUCAAAAAUCCGUACGUGUUAGCCUUUGGUAUUUUUGAAAAUGGUCAUUCAUGGCUAUUUUCGACAAAAAUGGGGGUUGUGUGGCCAUUGAUCAUCGACUAGAGGCUCAUACACCUCACCCCACAUAUGUUUCCUUGCCAUAGAUCACAUUCUUGGAUUUCUGGUGGAGACCAUUUCUUGGUCAAAAAUCCGUAGGUGUUAGCCUUCGGUAUUAUUGAAAAUGGUCGUUCAUGGCUAUUUUCGACAAAAAUGGGGGUUGUGUGGCCAUUGAUCAUCGACCAGACGCUCAUACACCUCACCCCACAUAUGUUUCCUUGCCAUAGAUCACAUUCUUGGAUUUCUGGUGGAGACCAUUUCUUGGUCAAAAUCCGUAGGUGUUAGCCUCUAGUAUUAUUGAAAAUGGUCGUAUCAUUCAUGGCUAUUUUCAUAAAAAAUGGGGGUUGUGUGGCCAUUUAUCAUCGACUAGAGGCUCAUACACCUCACCCCACAUAUGUUUCCUUGCCAUAGAUUACAUUCUUGGAUUUCUGGUGGAAACCAUUUCUUGGUUAAAAACUCGUACGUGUUAGCCUUCGGUAUUAUUGAAAAUGGUCAUUCAUGGCUAUUUUCGGCAAAAUGGGGGUUGUGUGGCCAUUGAUCGUCGACCAGAGGCUCAUACACCUCACCCCACAUAUGUUUCCUUGCCAUAGAUCACAUUCUUGGAUUUCUGGUGGAGACCAUUUCUUGGUCAAAAAUCCGUAGGUGUUAGCCUUCGAUAUUAUUGAAAAUGGUCGUUCAUGGCUAUUUUCGGCAAAAUGGGGGUUGUGUGGCCAUUGAUCAUCGACCAGAGGCUCAUACACCUCACCCCACAUAUGUUUCCUUGCCAUAGAUCACAUUCUUGGAUUUCUGGUGGAGACCAUUUCUUGGUCAAAAAUCCGUAGGUGUUAGCCUUCGGUAUUAUUGAAAAUGGUCGUUCAUGGCUAUUUUCGACAAAAAUGGGGGUUGUGUGGCCAUUGAUCAUCGACCAGAGGCUCAUACACCUCACCCCACAUAUGUUUCCUUGCCAUAGAUCACAUUCUUGGAUUUCUGGUGGAGACCAUUUCUUGGUCAAAAAUCCGUAGGUGUUAGCCUUCGGUAUUAUUGAAAAUGGUCGUUCAUGGCUAUUUUCGACAAAAAUGGGGGUUGUGUGGCCAUUGAUCAUCGACCAGAGCUCAUACACCUCACCCCACAUAUGUUUCCUUGCCAUAGAUCACAUUCUUGGAUUUCUGGUGGAGACCAUUUCUUGGUCAAAAAUCCGUAGGUGUUAGCCUUCGGUAUUAUUGAAAAUGGUCGUUCAUGGCUAUUUUCGACAAAAAUGGGGGUUGUGUGGCCAUUGAUCAUCGACCAGAGGCUCAUACACCUCACCCCACAUAUGUUUCCUUGCCAUAGAUCACAUUCUUGGAUUUCUGGUGGAGACCAUUUCUUGGUCAAAAAUCCGUAGGUGUUAGCCUUCGUAUUAUUGAAAAUGGUCGUUCAUGGCUAUUUUCGACAAAAAUGGGGGUUGUGUGGCCAUUGAUCAUCGACCAGAGGCUCAUACACCUCACCCCACAUAUGUUUCCUUGCCAUAGAUCACAUUCUUGGAUUUCUGGUGGAGACCAUUUCUUGGUCAAAAAUCCGUAGGUGUUAGCCUUCGUAUUAUUGAAAAUGGUCUUCAUGGCUAUUUUCGACAAAAAUGGGGGUUGUGUGGCCAUUGAUCAUCGACCAGAGGCUCAUACACCUCACCCCACAUAUGUUUCCUUGCCAUAGAUCACAUUCUUGGAUUUCUGGUGGAGACCAUUUCUUGGUCAAAAAUCCGUAGGUGUUAGCCUUCGGUAUUAUUGAAAAUGGUCGUUCAUGGCUAUUUUCGACAAAAAUGGGGGUUGUGUGGCCAUUGAUCAUCGACCAGAGGCUCAUACACCUCACCCCACAUAUGUUUCCUUGCCAUAGAUCACAUUCUUGGAUUUCUGGUGGAGACCAUUUCUUGGUCAAAAAUCCGUAGUGUUAGCCUUCGGUAUUAUUGAAAAUGGUCAUUCAUGGCUAUUUUCGACAAAAAUGGGGGUUGUGUGGCCAUUGAUCAUCGACCAGAGGCUCAUACACCUCACCCCACAUAUGUUUCCUUGCCAUAGAUCACAUUCUUGGAUUUCUGGUGGAGACCAUUUCUUGGUCAAAAAUCCGUAGGUGUUAGCCUUCGGUAUUAUUGAAAAUGGUCAUUCAUGGCUAUUUUCGACAAAAAUGGGGGUUGUGUGGCCAUUGAUCAUCGACCAGAGGCUCAUACACCUCACCCCACAUAUGUUUCCUUGCCAUAGAUCACAUUCUUGGAUUUCUGGUGGAGACCAUUUCUUGGUCAAAAAUCCGUAGGUGUUAGCCUUCGUAUUAUUGAAAAUGGUCUUCAUGGCUAUUUUCGACAAAAAUGGGGGUUGUGUGGCCAUUGAUCAUCGACCAGAGGCUCAUACACCUCACCCCACAUAUGUUUCCUUGCCAUAGAUCACAUUCUUGGAUUUCUGGUGGAGACCAUUUCUUGGUCAAAAAUCCGUAGGUGUUAGCCUUCGUAUUAUUGAAAAUGGUCGUUCAUGGCUAUUUUCGACAAAAAUGGGGGUUGUGUGGCCAUUGAUCAUCGACCAGAGGCUCAUACACCUCACCCCACAUAUGUUUCCUUGCCAUAGAUCACAUUCUUGGAUUUCUGGUGGAGACCAUUUCUUGGUCAAAAAUCCGUAGGUGUUAGCCUUCGUAUUAUUGAAAAUGGUCGUUCAUGGCUAUUUUCGACAAAAAUGGGGGUUGUGUGGCCAUUGAUCAUCGACAGAGGCUCAUACACCUCACCCCACAUAUGUUUCCUUGCCAUAGAUCACAUUCUUGGAUUUCUGGUGGAGACCAUUUCUUGGUCAAAAAUCCGUAGGUGUUAGCCUUCGGUAUUAUUGAAAAUGGUCGUUCAUGGCUAUUUUCGACAAAAAUGGGGGUUGUGUGGCCAUUGAUCAUCGACCAGAGCUCAUACACCUCACCCCACAUAUGUUUCCUUGCCAUAGAUCACAUUCUUGGAUUUCUGGUGGAGACCAUUUCUUGGUCAAAAUCCGUAGGUGUUAGCCUCUGUAUUAUUGAAAAUGGUCGUCAUGGCUAUUUUCGACAAAAAUGGGGGUUGUGUGGCCAUUAUCAUCGACUAGAGGCUCAUAACCUCACCCCACAUAUGUUUCCUUGCCAUAGAUACAUUCUUGGAUUUCUGGUGGAGACCAUUUCUUGGUCAAAAAUCGUAGUGUUAGCCUUCGUAUUAUUGAAAAUGGUCUUCAUGGCUAUUUUCGGCAAAAUGGGGGUUGUGUGGCCAUUGAUCGUCGACCAGAGGCUCAUACACCUCACCCCACAUAUGUUUCCUUGCUAGAUCACAUUCUUGGAUUUCUGGUGGAGACCAUUUCUUGGUCAAAAAUCCGUAGGUGUUAGCCUUCGUAUUAUUGAAAAUGGUCGUUCAUGGCUAUUUUCGACAAAAAUGGGGGUUGUGUGGCCAUUGAUCAUCGACCAAGGCUCAUACACCUCACCCCACAUAUGUUUCCUUGCCAUAGAUCACAUUCUUGGAUUUCUGGUGGAGACCAUUUCUUGGUCAAAAAUCCGUAGUGUUAGCCUUCGGUAUUAUUGAAAUGGUCAUUCAUGGCUAUUUUCGACAAAAAUGGGGUUGUGUGGCCAUUGAUCAUCGACAGAGGCUCAUACACCUCACCCCACAUAUGUUUCCUUGCCAUAGAUCACAUUCUUGGAUUUCUGGUGGAGACCAUUUCUUGGUCAAAAAUCCGUAGGUCUUAGCCUCUAGUAUUAUUGAAAAUGGUCGUCAUGGCUAUUUUCAUAAAAAUGGGGUUGUGUGCCAUUGAUCAUCGACCAAGCCAUGAACGACCAUUUUCAAAAUACCAAAGGCUAACACGUACGGAUUUUUGACCAAGAAAUGGUCUCCACCAGAAAUCCAAGAAUGUGAUCUAUGGCAAGGAAACAUAUGUGGGGUGAGGUGUAUGAACCUCUAGUCGAUGAUAAAUGGCCACACAACCCCAUUUUUUAUGAAAAUAGCCAUGAGCGACUUGAAAUACCAUGACGACCAUUUUCAAUAAUACUAGAGGCUAACACCUACGGAUUUUAGACCAAGAAAUGGUCUCCACCAGAAAUCCAAGAAUGUGAUCUAUGGCAAGGAAACAUAUGUGGGGUGAGGUGUAUGAGCGUCUGGUCGAUGAUCAAUGGCCACACAACCCCCAUUUUGUCGAAAAUAGCCAUGAACGACCAUUUUCAAUAAUACCGAA
rnacentral:lncRNA from 1 species